rnacentral:rRNA from 1 species
GGGGGCCCCCAAGCGGUGGAGAAUGUGGUUAAAUUCUAUGCACCGCGAAGAACCUUACCUACUCUUGACAUCCACGGAAUUUGGCACAAAUGCCUUAGUGCCUUCGGGAACCGUGUGGACAGGUGCUGCAUGGCUGUCGUCAGCUCGUGUUGUGAAAAUGUUGGGUUAAGUCCCGCAACGAGCGCAACCCUUAUCCUUUGUUGCCAGCGAUUCGGUCGGGAACUCAAAGGAGACUGCCGGUGAUAAACCGGAGGAAGGUGGGGGAUGACGUCAAGUCAUCAUGGCCCUUACGAGUAGGGCUACACACGUGCUACAAUGGCGCAUACACAAGAGAAGCGACCUCGCGAGAGCAAGCGGACCUCACAAAGUGCGUCUCUACUCCCGGAUAGUGAGUCUGCAACUCGACUCCGUGAAAUCGGAGACUCUAGUAAUCGUGGAUAACAAUGCCACUGUGAAUACUUUCCCCGCGCCUUGUACACCCC